rnacentral:lncRNA from 1 species
UGUAUAUUUGCAGACUUUUUUCAUUUUUUUGCAUAAUACAAUAUUUGUACUGUUAGCAAAAUUGAAUGAGCACUGAAGGAAAAAACUAGUAAUUUCUCCAUUGAUGUAUCUGUAGCACCCUGUUUUAAAUUUCAAUGCUGCAGAAUACGCAAUCUUCUCAACUAUACAUGAACAUUCACUAGGAUAGACCAUUUGUGGGGCCACAGAAAAAUUAGCUCAGACAUGAUAGAAACGAGAGAUGAACCUGACUUUAUUAGAAUAAAAUGCUACUAUAAUAACAGAUGAUGGUGGAAUCUCAUCCUUUGUAGAAAUUCAUUUCUCUGCACCUUUCCUGCCUAAUCUCACUGCUGUAUUUAGAGGUUAAAACUGCCAAAGACAGCUAAGAGUUUGCCAAUUCCUCAUCAUUUGUGAGUAAUCCAGAUAUUUCUCUAGGGCUCCAGGAAACCAUGGUUUGCUGCUGUAAUCUACUACCUCUACAGAGUUUUCAACACAUGUAAACUCAGCUGUCUGAAAAUUCAAGUUGACCAACAAAAUUAGAUGACGUUUCCUGAGUUGUUGAUGUUCUGAAAACCUGUUUGAAUUUAAUAUCCAGGAAAAAGAAAACUCACAAUGAGGGCUGCUUAAAUUUAUUUCAACAACUUUGAAGAACCCAGAAGACAUGGAGUCUCAGUUUCAGAAGAUCUGAACCUGAACUUCAGCACAGCAUUGUCAGCUGGAGGAGGCAGUCUACACUUCAGGUAACAGGUGAGGUUUGUUAUCACUUUUGCUUGUCUUGUCUCUUUCUUCUUUUGUCCCACUGCUGAGGCCAAAGUUCAGUUGCUUUUU